ACUCCCUCCUCCCCCUUCUUCUCCAGCAGGGGCACACACAGCCAAGGGCUAGAAGAUUGCCUUCAAAAUUUGGAGACCACCCUCAUUUGUCUCUUCCGGAGGAAAGUGGCUACAAGGCAUACAGGGAGAGGCACUAUUAGGAGGUGUGGCCUUGUUGGAGGAAGUGUGGCACUUUCAAGAUCUUCAUCCUAGCUGCCUGGAAGCCAGUCUUCUCCUAUUUGCCUUCAGAACAAGAUGUUGAACUCUCAGAUCCUCUAGCGCCAUGCCUGCUUGGGUGCUGCCAUGCUCUGACCUUGAUGAUAAUGGACUGAACCUCUGAACCUGUAAGCCAGCUCCAAUUAAAUGUUGUCCUUAUAAGUGUUGUC
rnacentral:lncRNA from 1 species